rnacentral:misc_RNA from 1 species
UCUCCGUUGGUGAACCAGCGGAGGGAUCAUUAGCGAGUUACACAACUCCCAACCCACUGUGAAUCAUACCCCGUACGCCCUCCGUUGCCUCGGCGGACCGGCCCGGCCCCUACCGGGGGCGGGUGCUGCCGCCGACGUGACGAGGGCCCUUAACUCUGCUGUUUUUACGCCGCUCUGAGUACAGCUUCUUAAUGAAUUAAAACUUUCAACAACGGAUCUCUUGGUUCUGGCAUCGAUGAAGAACGCAGC